GUCACUGUACACACCGCCUUGGAGGCAAUCACUCCAGGAGAGCUGCUUUCAUGCACUAUGCAUCUAUUUUUUUUUUUUGUCUUUCCUAAUUUCAAGUUCAAGAUGGUGUCCCUAGCUUUAAUUGUAUACAAGGACCAGGCAAACACCAUGCUCUUAACUUCAACUCAAUCUGUUGAGCAGGAGUUCCUUAAUACAAGAUGUGGGAAUUAUAUGUUAAAGAGAAAACAUUGUUUGCCACUACCCAGUAUGGAAAGAACGAGUUACUAAAAUUUGGCCAAAUAUAAUAAGUAAUAUUUAGUAUAAGUUUAACAUAAGGUCCGUGUCUUCCAUGUCAAAAACGGGAUCUUUGUACUUUCUAAGUAAAAAGAAGGUCCUGUAGUAGAAUUCCAAAACUAGAGGACAGAUACCUCCAGGGAAUCCUUAACAAAGGGGAGGAGACCAAAGACUUGGUAAUGAUCUAAGAAUUCCUACAGGUUUUUAUCAGCUUUGUCUAAGUAAUCAGCAUAAUCACUUCGGUUCUGUGCAAGUGUACCUCAACUUUGGGGUCUUCUAUGAGGGGCCUGAGACUGAUCACAAACAGAAGGAAAGAAAACAACUGAAUGAUACUCUGGAUGCAAUUGAGGACGGCACACAAAAGGUGCAGAACAAUAUCUUUCACAUGUGGCGAUACUACAACUUUGCCCGGAUGAGGAAAAUGGCUGACUUUUUCCUUAUCCAAUCAAACUAUAACUACGUGAACUGGUGGUCGACAGCCCAGAGCCUUGUUAUUAUUCU
rnacentral:lncRNA from 1 species